UCAUCGAAAAGCUAAGAAAUACCGAUGAAAAACCGGAACAUCGAAAAGAAGAAAAAAUAAUUCACCUAAAAAUCUGAAAACGCAUGCAGAAAAAAAUAAAAGAACAAAAUCCAAAGAAAAUACUCAAAACGCUACACGCGACGGCGGCUGAGAACGCGUCAAGCGGCGUCGCAUGGGAGUGAUCGUUAGGAGGCUUUCGAAGGAGCGUUCGCCAACUAGUUUCUCUCCUUUGUACCAUUUCAGUUUCUCAUGCUGUCCAUUAAAAUUUGUGCAGGGUAAAGAGCUACAUCCAGAAAGUCAAGAGAAAGAAGUAGUAGUUGUAUAAUGGAGAAUGCGAGAGAAAAAUGACAUCUAGCUUCUUGAUGUCGUAUUUGAAGUAACUCCUGCAUACGAGCGGAUCAGAACAAAGUUUGAUUGGGAAGUCCAGAAUGUAUCCUUGUACAUGUCAUUAGCAGCAGUGUCCCACUAAUCCGGGACGUGUUUAAAAGACAUCAAGCCUGAGCCUAGUCAGGUUCGGAAUCAGCAGCUUGCAGGUUUAAUCAAUCGGAGAUAAAUUUUCCUGACGCCUUCCAUUAUCAAAACUCAUCACCAUUUGUUUGAUAGCAGGUUCAUAUGUUCCCCGCAAAAAAGCAAGCCCAUAUAACUAUCCUUGCUUAUUUAACUGACUGUCCCCCUCU
rnacentral:lncRNA from 1 species